rnacentral:lncRNA from 1 species
UCUUUCUUUUGCUAAAAUAUUAUGAAUCGAUUCAACUUUCAUAUAAAGAUGUGAAUCAAUAUACUUUUAAAGGUUGCUAGGAGCAUUUCUAUUUCUAACUUUGAUAUAUGAUAACUGACUUUUAUAUUUUAUUGAAAUACUAGUUUCGAAGUGAUUAAGAUGAAAAUUGAUUCAAACGAUUAUUUUUACAAUUUCUUCGGUCUCUUUUUGAUAUGUUAACUCUGGCAAAUUCGUAUUAUACAGAUAACUGUCUGAACAACGCGUGAACAUCAGACCGCCUGACAUACCUGUAUAACCAAAAGGGAUCAUUUCAUAGUUGAGCGCUGUGGUAUUAUCGUACAAAUGUAUGCUUUGCUGUAUGUAUUUUAUCAGUGUUGAAAUGAACCAUUGUCUAUCAAAUAUUCAUUCGCUCCACCCGCCGCAGAAAUCAUUCAUAGGUUAAGUGUGCUAUCGACUGCAAUAUUUGCGGUUAAAUAUUUAAUGAAAAUGAAAGAAAACACUAUAAUGAGUAAAUGAUGUGAAGCCGUUUGCGUGCAAGAGUAGACAAAUAUGUUAGUAAGCUAAAUGUUUAAAUUUUGUACAUUAAAGUAAGCAAGGCCUAUAGCUAAAUGGUGUAUAAUAAAGUGCAUGCAAAAAUCCCACACCUUAAUGUAUCUUGUCCGAAUGUUCAUGCUUUGUAUAUGAUAGCUGUAAAAUGGUUGUAAUGAUGUCAAAUCAUUUACUGUACAUUUGUACCAUACUUAUACAAUAAAAAU